rnacentral:misc_RNA from 1 species
AAUAUAUGUUCUUCACUAAGCUCCUUCUCUCUGUGUAUGAGUGAGAGAGAGAGAGUUAUCUAUGGCGGCUUCAUUAAUCUCUGCAGUUGCAAAAAGGCUAGAGGGAAAAGUAGCCCUAGUCACAGGAGGUGCAAGUGGAAUUGGCGAAUGCACCGCCAAAGUCUUUGCCCACCACGGAGCCAAAGUUGUGAUUGCAGACAUCCAAGACGAAUUAGGCCACGCGGUGGCUCAAGCCCUAGGCCCAUCAAACUCCACCUACACCCACUGCGAUGUUUCCGAUGAGGCCCAUAUUAAAAAUGCAGUUGACAAAGCAGUUGCUACCUAUGGCAAGCUUGACAUAAUGUUCAACAAUGCGGGCAUUGCUGAUGAGAACAAACCUCGAAUAAUCGACAAUGAAAAGGCCGAUUUUGAGCGCGUUCUUAGCAUUAAUGUGACUGGAGUUUUCCUAGGUAUUAAACACGCCGCCCGUGUCAUGAUUCCGGCACGUAGAGGCAGCAUUAUUUCCACGGCUAGUGUGAGCUCAAGUGUAGGUGCUGCAGCCUCUCAUGCAUACUGUUGCUCAAAGCAUGCUGUUUUAGGGCUUACAAGAAAUGCAGCAGUUGAACUUGGGCAAUUUGGGAUCAGAGUGAAUUGUUUGUCCCCUUAUGGGGUUGCUACGCCUUUAGCCAAAAAAUUUGUUGGGCUUGACGACGAGGGACUAGAGAAUGUGAUGAAUUCACUUGGUAACUUGAAGGGUGUGACGGUUAAGGCAGAAGACGUUGCCAAUGCCGCACUAUAUCUAGCUAGUGAUGAGGGUAGAUAUGUUAGUGGGCAUAAUCUUUUUAUUGAUGGGGGAUUUACCAUUCAUAACCCAUCAUUCCACAUGUUCCAGUACCCAGAUUCUUAAUUUACCAUAGCUUAUUCUUCUUAUUGAAGAGAUGUACAACACUAUUUCAAUCUGUUGCCCUCUGGCUUUCAAGUUCUCCUUGAUAGAAAUAACACAUGGUAUUUUGAGAUUGGUUAUGUUAUAUACAAUCAUAUGAUAUAUAAAACAAAA